rnacentral:rRNA from 1 species
AUACGGAGGAUCCGAGCGUUAUCCGGAUUUAUUGGGUUUAAAGGGAGCGUAGGCGGGAGAUCAAGUCAGCUGUGAAAUGUAGAUGCUCAACAUCUGCACUGCAGUUGAAACUGGUUUUCUUGAGUGCGUAAGGGGCAGGCGGAAUUCGUCGUGUAGCGGUGAAAUGCUUAGAUAUGACGAAGAACUCCGAUCGCGAAGGCAGCCUGCCGGGCCGCGACUGACGCUGAAGCUCGAAGGUGCGGGUAUCGAACAGGAUUAGAUACCCUGGUAGUCCGCACAGUAAACGAUGGAUACUCGCUGUCGGCGAUAUACGGUCGGUGGCCAAGCGAAAGCGUUAAGUAUCCCACCUGGGGAGUACGCCGGCAACGGUGAAACUCAAAGGAAUUGGCGGGG